rnacentral:rRNA from 1 species
GACGAACCGUGCGAACGUUGUUCGGAAUCACUGGGCUUAAAGGGCGCGUAGGCGGUCGAGCAAGUCCGGGGUGAAAUCUUUCGGCUUAACCGGAAAAGUGCCUUGGAUACUGCUUGACUUGAGGGAGGUAGGGGCAGCUGGAACUUCCAGUGGAGCGGUGAAAUGCGUUGAUAUUGGAAGGAACGCCGGUGGCGAAAGCGAGCUGCUGGCCCUCUUCUGACGCUGAGGCGCGAAAGCUAGGGGAGCAAACGGG